CCUAGGAAUCUGCCUGGUAGUGGGGGAUAACGUUCGGAAACGGACGCUAAUACCGCAUACGUCCUACGGGAGAAAGCAGGGGACCUUCGGGCCUUGCGCUAUCAGAUGAGCCUAGGUCGGAUUAGCUAGUUGGUGGGGUAAUGGCUCACCAAGGCGACGAUCCGUAACUGGUCUGAGAGGAUGAUCAGUCACACUGGAACUGAGACACGGUCCAGACUCCUACGGGAGGCAGCAGUGGGGAAUAUUGGACAAUGGGCGAAAGCCUGAUCCAGCCAUGCCGCGUGUGUGAAGAAGGUCUUCGGAUUGUAAAGCACUUUAAGUUGGGAGGAAGGGUUGUAGAUUAAUACUCUGCAAUUUUGACGUUACCGACAGAAUAAGCACCGGCUAACUCUGUGCCAGCAGCCGCGGUAAUACAGAGGGUGCAAGCGUUAAUCGGAAUUACUGGGCGUAAAGCGCGCGUAGGUGGUUUGUUAAGUUGGAUGUGAAAUCCCCGGGCUCAACCUGGGAACUGCAUUCAAAACUGACUGACUAGAGUAUGGUAGAGGGUGGUGGAAUUUCCUGUGUAGCGGUGAAAUGCGUAGAUAUAGGAAGGAACACCAGUGGCGAA
rnacentral:rRNA from 1 species